rnacentral:RNase_P_RNA from 1 species
GGAGUGGGCCGAGUGUGUCGCUGCGUGAGGAGACUCGCGUAGAGGAAAGUCCGAACUCCACAGAGCAGGGUGCUGGAUAACGUCCAGGCGGGGCGACCCGACGGCAGAGUGCAACAGAGAGCAGGGCGCCUCGGGGGCGCAAGCCCCUGAGGUAAGCGUGAAACGGUGGUGUAAGAGACCACCAGCGGUCCGGGCGACCGGGCCGGCUGGGCAAACCCCACCCGGAGCAAGGCCAAGCGGAGGACGUGGCGCGGCGCGCAAGCGUCUCGCCACCUGGGCGGCUCGUCCAGCGGGCCUCAGGUAGGCCGCACGAGACGCCGAGCAAUCGGCGCCCAAGAGAGAUGACCACUGCGAUGGGCCAGCCCGCUCGCGGGCAGGCCCGUCGACACAGAAUUCGGCUUACAGGCCCACUCACCCU